GCAAGAUUAAAACUCAAAGGAAUAGACGGGGACCCGCACAAGCGGUGGAGCAUGUGGUUUAAUUCGACGAUACGCGAGGAACCUUACCUGGCCUUGACAUAGAAAGAACUUUCCAGAGACGGAUUGGUGCUAGUUUACUAGAGCUUUCAUACAGGUGCUGCACGGCUGUCGUCAGCUCGUGUCGUGAGAUGUUGGGUUAAGUCCCGCAACGAGCGCAACCCUCGUGUUUAGUUACUAACAGUUCGGCUGAGGACUCUAAACAGACUGCCUGGGUAACCAGGAGGAAGGUGAGGACGACGUCAAGUCAUCAUGGCCCUUACGGCCAGGGCUACACACGUGCUACAAUGGGGUAUACAAAGAGCUGCAAUACGGUGACGUGGAGCAAAUCUCAUAAAAUAUCUCCCAGUUCGGAUUGAAGUCUGCAACUCGACUUCAUGAAGUUGGAAUCGCUAGUAAUCGUAGAUCAGCAAUGCUACGGUGAAUACGUUCCCGGGUCUUGUACUCACCGCCCGUCACACCAUGGGAAUUGAAUUCAUUCGAAGCGGGGAUGCUAAAAUAGCUACCUUCCACAGUGGAUUUAGUAACUAGGGUGAAGUCGUAACAAGGUA
rnacentral:rRNA from 1 species